GAUGAACGCUGGCGGCGUGCCUAAUACAUGCAAGUCGAGCGAACAGAUGAGGAGCUUGCUCCUCUGACGUUAGCGGCGGACGGGUGAGUAACACGUGGAUAACCUACCUAUAAGACUGGGAUAACUUCGGGAAACCGGAGCUAAUACCGGAUAAUAUAUUGAACCGCAUGGUUCAAUAGUGAAAGACGGUUUUGCUGUCACUUAUAGAUGGAUCCGCGCCGCAUUAGCUAGUUGGUAAGGUAACGGCUUACCAAGGCUACGAUGCGUAGCCGACCUGAGAGGGUGAUCGGCCACACUGGAACUGAGACACGGUCCAGACUCCUACGGGAGGCAGCAGUAGGGAAUCUUCCGCAAUGGGCGAAAGCCUGACGGAGCAACGCCGCGUGAGUGAUGAAGGUCUUCGGAUCGUAAAACUCUGUUAGUAGGGAAGAACAACUGUGUAAGUAACUAUGCACGUCUUGACGGUACCUAAUCAGAAAGCCACGGCUAACUACGUG
rnacentral:rRNA from 1 species